rnacentral:lncRNA from 1 species
UUUUUGUUUUUGUUUUUUUACUGUUUGGGCAUUGGUUCAUUUAGCAAAGAUGUGUUGAGUGCCUGCUUUGUAUGGGUACCACAGGCAAAACAAUGUGAUAGGAGGACAAAGAAGCAGCACAACUGCAGGUCGUAUGCCUUGAUGUUGCUCCCAACACAGGGAAUUGCAACUAAACUGGAAGUUUGAGGACAGAAAGCAUCUUAGUGGUUCACCGUUCCUUCUUAUGGCCUAGAGACCCAAGAGAUGGUAGGUCUUCAGAAAAAGCUCAUUUAACAGUUGAUGACACUGCAAUCCUGCCUGGCCCAUGGAAGGACUCAGCAAAUAGGGAUGGAAGUUGUUGCUGUUGAAAUUAUCUUAGCCUCACCCCUAGGCUUUGUGAACUUGGGCCAGCACCCUAACCCAUCUGGACUGUUUUUUUCUUGUCAGUGAAACAGAGAUAAAAACACAUUAAAUGCAGUCCAGGGAUAUCCUGGAUGAAAUCUUAAAGCAAAACAAAGAUGGUCCCAGAAAAUGGAUGAAAUCUGAAUAGAGUCUUUGGCUUACCAAAUGGUGAUAUACCAGUGUUAAUUUCUUAACGUACCUUGGACCUUAGGGGAAACGGGCUGACUGGUACACAUGAACUCUGCAGUCCCUCUGCAACUUUUUUUGGUAAACCUAAAAUUAUUGUAAAAUGAAAAGGUGAUUGAAAGCAAAAAGCCCGUGUACCACAUGAUAAUUGUAUCAGUCAGUUCAUGCUGCUGUAACAAAAAAACCACAGAUUGGUUGGCUUAAGUAAUAGGAAUUUAUUUUCUCACAGUUCUGGAGGCUGGGAAGGUCAAGCUCCAAGUGUUGGUUCGUUGGGUUCCUGGUGAGGGCUCUCUUUCUGGCUUGCAGACGGCUGCCUUCUCACAGUGUCCUCGCGUGCUGGAGAGAGCCCAGGUAUCUCUUCCUCUUCCUAUAAGAACACCAAUCUUAUCAGCUCAGGGCCCUACCUUCUGACCUCACUUAAGCUUUAUUACCUCUUAUAGGCUGUGCCUCCAAAUAGAGUUACGUUGGGGGCCAGGGCUUCAACAUAGGAAUGUCAAGGGGAUGUGUUCUGUCCAUAGCAGUAAUAUAAUUGGUGUGACCACUUGGGAAGACUCGUUAACGGUGUCUGCAUAAAACUGAACAUAAACCUAUCUGAGCCCCUGCACUUCCACUCCUAAGGAUAUGUUCACCAAAAAAAACCAGCACAAGAAUAUAUGUAGUAGCAGUAAUCAUAGUAACGCAAAACCGCAAGCUGCCCGAAUGUCUAUCAGAAGUAGAAGGAAUCAGUAAAGCAUGGUGUGUUCGCAUGAUGGGGCAGUACAUGCCAGUGAGAAUGAAUGACCCACCACCAAACCCAACCAGAGGGAUUACUCUUGCAAACUUCACGGUGAGAGAACGAAGGCAGAUGAAGAGGCGGGCGUCCUGUGUGAGGGUGUUGGCAAUAAGUUCAGUAAAAAGCAAUCUCUGCCUCUAUUAGAAGUCGUAGGUACAGCCUGGCUGGGGGCUGGGCAUGGGCUUUCAGAUGGUGCUAAUAUUCUGUUUCUUGAUUAGAGUGCUGGGUGUGUUUUGCGCCUUUUUCAUUUUUUUGAGGGGGGGGGGAUGUAUGUUAUACUCCAGUAAAAAAUUUACACACACACACACAACCGUAUGGCGGUUGAGAGAAUUAAAUAGGGCCAUGAGUGUAAAGCAUGUGUGAUACAUUGUAAUUCUGUUCUGCUCUCUUCCCUCAGCACAGUGUUCCCUUCUUGACCACAAUGGCACCCUUGGUUCAUUGGCGGGUAUCAUGCCAACUGUGGAAAUGCCUCGAGCCCCCCUUUAGUUUGUGGGGCGUGGUCAGCUCAGGGGUGAACUAACUCUUCAAGGAGUCACCCAAGGUGGCCUGGGGAUCCCUAAUCACUUGCCUCCCCCCUUUUUUUUAACAGUUCUUCUUACUUGUAAAUGGAAAAGGAGACCCCCACCCAAAAUACUCUUGCCUUCUUCCAUCUGUAUUUUCUUUACUAAAUUAUCCAGUCUUAUAAAUAUUUGAAUAACAUUUGGUCAGGAUAAAAUCUUUCCUGUCAGCUCAGUACAAGAACACUUUUUGGCUCCUGAGACCAUAACAGUCAGAUAAAUUAAUAUUGAUUUGUUAGAAAAUAGUUUUCACUCUGUCUAAACAUCUUAUUCUGGGCUCUUGAACCAAAAUUAUGAAUUUAAAAGCAGCAAAAUAGUUCUUCACAGUUUUCCCAGUGAAACUAAUUAUGGGCAGAUUGUGAAAAAUGUAUUGGAUGUGAUUUCCAACGUAGAGUUCUGCUCACCAAAAUUCACAGAAACCGGAGGCUCGAUGUCUGAUUUAUUUGAGCAAGUUGCAAUUUGGUAGACUGGAGAAUUUAUGUAAAUAGUUUCUGCAAUUUCCAUAGGGAUAACGCAAUACAUUAAUAUCUCAAGUAUGGCAGAAGAUGAAGGGGGAGCCUUUUUUUAGCCGAUAAUUUGAUUUACCUAAUAGAACACUCAGAUUUUUUUUUCCUUCUUACUUAGGUUUAUAUAUUAAAGAACAGCUCGCUUCUAUACUACGUCGGUAGAUGGUGUGUAGAGUUUGGCAUUAUUUAGACUUGUCCUUUAAUUGCAUGGUAUCCAAGUGGGGAUGGAGAAAUGAAAAUAGUAAAAAUAAAAAACAGAAAACAUCAGCCAUAUAUAUCUGUACUAAUUUUAAACAUUUUGGGUUUUUAAAAUGCAAUUUUUGGGGGGCGGGGGCUUCAUGAAACUCUCAGUACAUUUAAUGCCUUUAGCAUCCUAUGUUACCUGCUCCAUAUUAUAUGGCACGUAAAUCGUGAACAUGAUCAGUGACUUAGCAAAGGAACCUUUCCUCUUUUUUGGACUUUUAAAUUGUUUCCAGAUUUAAAUAAUACAGCAUCUAACAUCUCUGUGUCAAAUUCUAUAUCAGAAUUGCAGAUCUUUUUAAAGAUAAAUGCCUGGACCAGCAUCUUCCGUCCAACUGUUCUGCAAUUCUUGAUACCUGUUGUCCAGUUGCUUUCUAGAGAAUGUAAAAACAUUAUAAAGACAGACAUGGGAGUUCCCGUCGUGGCGCAGUGGUUAACGAAUCUGACUAGGAACCAUGAGGUUGCAGGUUCGAUCCCUGCCCUUGCUCAGUGGCUUAAGGAUCCGGUGUUGCUGUGAGCUGUGGUGUAGGUUGCAGACGCGGUUCGGAUCCCGCGUUGCUGUGGCUCUGGCGGAGGCCAGGGGCUACAGCUCCGAUUCAACCCCUAGCCUGGGAAUCUCCAUAUGCCUCAGGAGCGGCCCAAAGAAAUGGCAAAAAGACAAAAAAAAAAAA